CUGGGGACAGUGAGUGCAAUCUCCCUGCACACCCAUCCUUGGGCAAGGACCCAGAGACCUCUGGUGCUGAGCGCAGAGGCUGAAGUGCUACAGAAGAACUAUAGAAGGACGGAGCAAAGCCAUGAUAUUUCCAUGGAAAUGUCAGAGUGCUCAGAGGAGCUUAUGGAACGUUUUUGAGCUGUGGGUCUGGACUGUGCUCUGUUGUGAUUUCUUCGCACAUCAUGGAACCGAUUGCUGGACUUACCAUUAUUCUAAAAGACCCAUGACCUGGGAAAAGGCUAGAAUGUUCUGCAGAAAAAAUUACACGGAUUUAGUUGCCAUACAAAACAAAGGGGAGAUUGAGUACCUGAACAAGACGCUCCCCUUCAGUCCUAAAUACUACUGGAUAGGAAUCCGGAAGGUAGGAGGGGCAUGGACCUGGGUAGGGACCAACAAAUCUCUCACCGAAGAAGCGGAGAACUGGGGCCAUGGGGAGCCCAACAACAAGAAGAGUAAAGAAGACUGUGUGGAGAUCUACAUCAAGAGGGCAAAAGACGCAGGGAAAUGGAAUGACGACGCCUGCCACAAAGCAAAGACAGCCCUCUGCUACACAGCUUCUUGUCAACCCUUGUCAUGCAGCGGCCAUGGACAAUGUAUGGAAAUCAUCAAUAAUUACACCUGCAACUGUGAUUUGGGGCACUACGGGCCCCAGUGUCAGUUCGUGACUCAGUGUGAGCCUUUGGAGGCCCCAGAGCUGGGUACCAUGGCCUGUAUUCACCCUUUGGGAAACUUCAGCUUCACAUCACAGUGUGCCUUCAACUGCUUUGAGGGAACAGACAUAGUUGGGAUUGAAGAAACCACUUGUGGACCAUUUGGAAACUGGUCAUCUCCAAAGCCAACAUGUCGAGUGAUUCAGUGUGAGCCUCUAACAGCACCCGGUUUUGGAACCAUGGACUGUAGUCACCUCCUGGUCGACUUUGGCUUUACCUCCACGUGUACCUUCAGCUGCUCAGAAGGAGCUGAGUUAAUUGGGGAAAAUAAAACUAUUUGUGGAUCAUCUGGAAAUUGGUCCAGCCCUAGUCCAAUAUGUCAAAAAGUGGACAGGAAUUUCUCAACAAUCAAGGAGGGUGACUAUAACCCCCUCUUCAUUCCAGUGGCAGUCAUGGUUACCACAUUCUCUGGGUUGGCAUUUAUCAUUUGGCUGGCAAGGAGAUUAAAAAAAGGCAAAAAGUCUCGGAGAAGGUAAGUUUUAUCAGCAAGAAGUUUCGAUAUCUGUUGAUGCCUUCUCUACCCUCUGCUUACAGAGGCAUGGAUGAGCCGUAUUAAACAACCUGCUGUGAAAGAAAAUUCUUGGGAAACUGAAGUGUCACUGGAUCCUUCGAAUCCCCCUCCAUGCAAAGUUUUGCCUGGUGGCAUCUUCUACACUGAAGAUGAAGUGUGUCUAUUUCAGUACAUCUGAAAAGUUUUCAAUACGACCAGCUGCUCCUUCUGUUUCCAUUUUGCCCCAUCACCCCUACCCCCGCAAGUUUCAGUGUGCAGUUGUGGGUUUUAUAGCUCAGUAUUUUAUUCUUUUUUCCAUGGACAAACAAGAUCAUGGGAAAAGGAUUACUGUGGAAUAUAAAUAUGCCAAUUUCACUCUCUUUCUCCACUCUGGCUUCCAGCUUCAAUUCUGAGCUGUACCUGAUGACAUAUACUUUGAAAUAUAGCGAAAAUUUGAUACAUAUGCAACUACAGGCUCAGUUUUGUUACAGAUCACAUUUUACCUCCCCUGCCCUCCAGGGUAUUGUGGAGACAUAUUCCUAUAGAAAGUUUAUAAAAUUGAUGUUACCCUUGCUUUCCAGCUCCAGCAGAGUAAUGGGGAUCUGCUCCAACUAGGAAAAGUCCUGUUUGCACUGCAGCCCCAGCUUCUAUAAAUGGUAGGCCAUCCUAUUUAACUGCCCCCAGGCUCCCACCUUCUUCAGCCAUCUCCCCUUCUCAGUUGCCUGACUUCCACACGGAGCAGCUCAUGACCACCAAGCAAAACGAGAGAUGAGAAAGAUAGCCUGCACUGUUGGGUUUUUCUUUUUGGAUUUGGGUUUUAAUGUCGCGUUUUUGUUAUUGGGGGUCCUUCCUCACCCCCAAAUCCUCUUACGUAUCCACCUAGAUUCUAUCUACUCUUUAUGAUUCAUCUCGGGCAUCCCCCACCCUUACCACUGUUUUCAUAAGUCCUUAACUAGUCCAACCUGUGACAAACUCCCCUUCCUGGCCUCCUACUGCAAGCUUAGUCAGUAACAUGCAAUUUUGCACUUAAAUACAGUUUUUAAAAAAAAUGUUA